GGGGGCGUGGCUCAACGGUAGAGCACACAGUGAACAUCAAAUAUGGCUGGUCGGCAGUAAUGAGAUCUAAACCAUGUUUGGUUUCCGAACUUCUGUGACGUGCUGGUUCGAAUCCAGCCGUCUCCA